rnacentral:rRNA from 1 species
UACGAAGGGGGCUAGCGUUGCUCGGAAUCACUGGGCGUAAAGCGCGCGUAGGCGGAUCGUUAAGUCAGGUGUGAAAUCCUGGAGCUCAACUCCAGAACUGCCUUUGAUACUGGCGAUCUUGAGUUCGGGAGAGGUGAGUGGAACUGCGAGUGUAGAGGUGAAAUUCGUAGAUAUUCGCAAGAACACCAGUGGCGAAGGCGGCUCACUGGCCCGAUACUGACGCUGAGGUGCGAAAGCGUGGGGAGCAAACAGG